rnacentral:rRNA from 1 species
UUGGAGGGCAAGUCUGGUGCCAGCAGCCGCGGUAAUUCCAGCUCCAAUAGCGUAUAUUAAAGUUGUUGCAGUUAAAAAGCUCGUAGUUGAAUUUCGGGGUCAGUAGGCUGGUCGUGCCACAGGUAUGUACUGGUCUCACUGAUUCCUCCUUCCUGAUGAACCGUAAUGCCAUUAAUUUGGUGUUGCGGGGAAUCUGGACUGUUACUUUGAAAAAAUUAGAGUGUUUAAAGCAGGCUAACGCUUGAAUACAUUAGCAUGGAAUAAUGAAAUGGGACGAUCGAUCCUAUUUUGUUGGUUUCUAGGAUUGACGUAAUGAUUAAUAGGGAUAGUUGGGGGCAUUAGUAUUCAAUUGUCAGAGGUGAAAUUCUUGGGUUUAUUGAAGACUAACUACUGCGAAAGCAUUUGCCAAGGAUGUUUUCAUUAAUCAAGAACGAAAGUUAGGGGAUCGAAGACGAUCAGAUACCGUCGUAGUCUUAACCAUAAACUAUGCCGACUAGGGAUCGGAUGAUGUUAAUUUUUUAAUGACUCAUUCGGCGCCUUACGGGAAA